AUUGAACGCUGGCGGCAGGCCUAACACAUGCAAGUCGAGCGAGUGGCGGACGGGUGAGUAAUGUCUGGGGAACUGCCCGAUGGAGGGGGAUAACUACUGGAAACGGUAGCUAAUACCGCAUACCAUCAGAUGAACCCAUAUGGGAUUAGCUAGUUGGUGGGGUAAAGGCUCACCAAGGCGACGAUCCCUAGCUGGUCUGAGAGGAUGACCAGCCACACUGGAACUGAGACACGGCCCAGACUCCUACGGGAGGCAGCAGUGGGGAAUAUUGCACAAUGUGCGCAAGCCUGAUGCAGCCAGGCCGCGUGUAUGAAGAAGGCCUUCGGGUUGUAAAGUACUUUCAGCGGGGAGGCGUUACCCGCAGAAGAAGCACCGGCUAACUCCGUGCCAGCAGCCGCGGUAAUAC
rnacentral:rRNA from 1 species